GAUGAACGCUGGCGGCGUGCCUAAUACAUGCGAGUCGAGCGAACGGACGAGAAGCUUGCUUCUCUGAUGUUAGCGGCGGACGGGUGAGUAACACGUGGAUAACCUACCUAUAAGACUGGGAUAACUUCGGGAAACCGGAGCUAAUACCGGAUAAUAUUUUGAACCGCAUGGUUCAAAAGUGAAAGACGGUCUUGCUGUCACUUAUAGAUGGAUCCGCGCUGCAUUAGCUAGUUGGUAAGGUAACGGCUUUCCAAGGCAACGAUGCAUAGCCGACCUGAGAGGGUGAUCGGCCACACUGGAACUGAGACACGGUCCAGACUCCUACGGGAGGCAGCAGUAGGGAAUCUUCCGCAAUGGGCGAAAGCCUGACGGAGCAACGCCGCGUGAGUGAUGAAGGUCUUCGGAUCGUAAAACUCUGUUAUUAGGGAAGAACAUAUGUGUAAGUAACUGUGCACAUCUUGACGGUACCUAAUCAGAAAGCCACGGCUAACUACGUG
rnacentral:rRNA from 1 species